rnacentral:rRNA from 1 species
UACGUAGGGUGCGAGCGUUAAUCGGAAUUACUGGGCGUAAAGCGUGCGUAGGCGGUUCGUUAAGUCAGCUGUGAAAGCCCCGGGCUCAACCUGGGAAUGGCCGUUGAAACUGGCGAACUGGAGUGUGGCAGAGGGGGGUGGAAUUCCGCGUGUAGCAGUGAAAUGCGUAGAGAUGCGGAGGAACACCGAUGGCGAAGGCAGCCCCCUGGGCUGACACUGACGCUCAGGCACGAAAGCGUGGGGAGCAAACAGG